AACGGGAAAAUUCGAGCCAGUACUGACUGCUGCACUGUUUAAGGUGGAAUGGGAAAAUUCGAGCCAGUACUGACUGCUGGAGCAUUUAAGAUGGAAUGGGAAAAUUCGAGCCAGUACUGACUGCUGCACUAUUUAAGGUGGAAUGGGAAAAUUCGAGCCAGUACUGACUGCUGGAGCAUUUAAGAUGGAAUGGGAAAAUUCGAGCCAGUACUGACUGCUGCACUAUUUAAGGGUUCACCUCCUCUUUAUUCAACACCAUGGGGUCCUUUACCCACCCUGGCGUGAAGAGCCGGUGGGCUUCUGUGCUUUUAAAUGCUGUGAGAGACUCUCCAGAACAGGGAGAGGGGCUGAGUAUGAGGUCAUGGAGCACUUCUCCUUCUCGUGACUGUAAUCAGGGUCAGAAAUGGCUCUCCUGAAGAGGCCAUGAAUGAAGAGGUUCCAAGGACGAGGCCUCAACCAAUGGUAUGCCACCCCCACCAACUGAGGUUGACGGAGCUCUGACAGCUGUUGGACAGCUGUAGGUGUGGAGGGAGCGUUCAAUAUCAUGUGGACUGGAAAGGGUACAGACCUGUGUUGAGUACCUGCUGGAGAUGUCCUUCACCCUGCACUUACAGCUGACUUUCACAGGCAGUUCCCUGAGCUGCCUGCUCCCUAUCCUUGGGGUCAUCCCAGGGGUUGUCCCUUGGAUUCCAGGCCCAGGUUGAGUCGGUGGUCGUUCCAGUUGUUCUUCUGUUUAGGCCUCCAGUUGUGUGAGUGAUGGUCGCUGUGAGCGUCCUCGUUCCUCAGCUGACCUGGACUCGUGAGAGUCAUCGGCCAAUCAUGAACCGUUACAGGGAUCUGGCUCACAAGCUUGUUUUAAAGGACUCUAUUAAUGCCCCAGUGAUCUUGUUCCUGUGCGUACUAAGCAUUCUUUUAUGGUUGGUCUUUUCAAUGUUUUUAACCAUUGCCUGUGUUUUUGCACUUACAUUUUGCACGUUUUUUUGCUUGUUUGCUAUUGGACUGUUCUGGUUUUUGCUCUUUGCCUCAUGUUUUUCUAUUGCUGUUUUUUGGUAUUGAUCUUGGCCUACAUUAAUUGUGUA